rnacentral:sRNA from 1 species
UAAAAUAUUUUUUAAAAUUAGAAUGUUAUACGUUUGGUUUUAAAAUCUAUGUACUAUUCUCAUACCUUAAUUGUUUAUUAAGGACUUUGAGCCAAUUGAUGUGGCUUUAAAAACUUAGCACAAAUAUAUUGAAAGUUUUUUUCUCAUUUAGUACACAGUACAGACAAAUAGGAGUAUCUUUUUUAUUUUUAUUUUUCGAGACAGGGUCUUGCUCUGUCACCCAGGCUGGUCUCGAACUCCGAACCUCAAAUGACCUGCCCGGCUCGGCCUCCCAAAGUGCUGGGAUUAUGGGCAUGAGUCACUGCAUCCAGACAAAAGUGUCAUUGCUUAAUCUUGAUUUGAAAGAACUUUAGGUAUUUAAAACAUUAUGUGGUCCUUUUGUGCAAGCGCUUUAUCCCUAAGUCGUUUGAUUAUCCAGGGUUGAAAGCAACUCUCUCUGACUUCUGCACUCAGAAAGCUCUUGGUCUAAUUGUGUUCUCCUUCCUGUCUCUUAGCUUCACAGGAUAAUGCAGCUGGCUGUGGUUGUAUCAGAAGUACUUGAGAAUGGUUCCUCAGUUUUGGUCUGUUUGGAGGAAGGCUGGGACAUCACUGCACAAGUAAACUAUUAGACAUAUUUUUUGAUAUUUUAUAUUUCCAUUUGGUCGUUUUUAAAUUCUUCAGAUGACUCUUUUGUAUAAUGACUAAUGUGUUUAUGGACAGAGAAAGUCCUGUGUUAAACAGCACCUGGUAGCCAUCAGAAAACUCCGUACCAUGAGCUCUUAGCCCCUACGCAGCCUGGAGCUCUGGCUCCGGGCAUCAGGCUCUCCCAUCCACAGAUGUACCAUGCAGGCUUGCGGAUGGAGCCCUUGACCAGCAGUGUGAGGCGCGGACCAUCCUUCCUGGGUUUUGUCAGUCCAUCCCCUGGCUCUCUAUAAGCC